GACGAACGCUGGCGGCGUGCUUAACACAUGCAAGUCGAACGGAAAGGCCCUGCUUUUGUGGGGUUCUCGAGUGGCGAACGGGUGAGUAACACGUGAGUAACCUGCCCUUGUCUUUGGGAUAACUUCAGGAAACAGGGGCUAAUACCGGAUAGGAGCUCCUGCUGCACGGGGGGGGAUGGAAAGAUACGGCGGUUGGGGCUGGACUCGCGGCUUAUCAGCUUGUUGGUGGGGUAGUGGCGUACCAAGGCUAUGACGGGUAGCCGGCCUGAGAGGGUGACCGGCCACAUUGGGACUGAGGUACGGCCCAGACUCCUACGGGAGGCAGCAGUGGGGAAUAUUGCGCAAUGGGCGGAAGCCUGAUGCAGCAACGCCGCGUGCGGGAUGACGGCCUUCGGGUUGUAAACCGAUUUCGACUGUGACGAAGCGUGAGUGACGGUAAUGGGUAAAGAAGCCCCGGCUAACUACGUG
rnacentral:rRNA from 1 species